GGGUCAGUAGGUCGGUCAUGCCACUGGUAUGCACUGGUCUCACUGAUUCCUCCUUCCUGAUGAACCGUAAUGCCAUUAAUUUGGUGUUGCGGGGAGACUGGACUGUUACUUUGAAAAAAUUAGAGUGUUUAAAGCAGGCUAACGCUUGAAUACAUUAGCAUGGAAUAAUAGAAUAGGAUGGUGGUCCUAUUUUGUUGGUUUCUAGGAUUGACGUA
rnacentral:rRNA from 1 species